GAAUAAUCAAUGAAGCUAUGAUUCUCUCUUCUUGAAGUUUUCUUUCUCGUUUCUAUUUUGUUAUCCUUUCUUCAAUGAUGAAAUAACUUCAUCACAAUAAUUAGUAACACAAGUGUCUACGAAAAACGUACCAGGAAGAAUCCGGUGCAGCGAUUCCGUCAACGUCCACGAUAUUACAGGGGAAAGGUGAAAAUCAAUUAUAGAAGGGUGGCUUUGUGCAGACGAAGAAAAUGCGGAAUCAGAAAAAAGCUCUGAUGCAGAGUUUAAGGAAAAAUGCAGAGUGGAAGAAUUUGAUGAAGAAGAAGAAACGCAGAAUGGAAAAAAUGCAGAACAGAAAAAAUGCAGAAUGAAGAAUUCGCUGUAGAAUGAUGAUGGAGAACUCCCUUGGGUUGUUGUAGGAGCUAAUCCUGUUAGUUGUCAGUUCAAGUGUUAAUGCUCUUUCUUAUCCAAUAAGGACUCUAAAACUCGUGGAAAAAUAGGGGAUUAGAUUAUAGGCUGUAUUUGGAAAAGUGUUGUAAACUUGGAAUUGAUUAUAUGGACUUAAUUGUUUAUCAAUUACCGUGUUUAAAAAGAAUGAUCAUGUAUUAAGUUACAUAUGAAAAGUU